CUCCUGUUGCCAUGGAGACCCAACCCUUCUGUCCUCUCUUUGGUUCCGUUCCUCCUGUUGCCAUGGAGACCCAGCCCUUCUGUCCUCUCUUUAGUUCCGUGUCCUCCUGUUGCCAUGGAGACCCAACCCUUCUGUCCUCUCUUUGGUUCCGUGUCCUCCUGUUGCCAUGGAGACCCAACCCUUCUGUCCUCUCUUUAGUUACGUCUCUUUCUGUUGUCGUUUAGGAGCAGACCGUCUUCUGCUCUCAACUGUACACUUCUGUUUUCCCCUGUGUCUGUGUGCAUGCGUGUGUGCGUGUGGUUUGUUUGUUUGUUUGUUUGUUUGUUUGUUUGUUCAGUGCUGCUCUGGUUCACUAGCGCAAGGAACUCUUUUCAAGUGUUUUGAAAUGACCAACUAAUCUAGAGUUGCUACUCACAGCUCCAUACGGUUGCUAACAGAGCUCGCUAACACGGCCCAGAAUCUAAUCCUACCUCAGCGUUUGCCAACAUCACAGGUGCGUCUACACCUGAUGUCAUGACCGGUGCGUCUACACCUGUUCCAAUCACAGGUGCGUCUACGCCACGCCCUGGUCUCAUCACAGGUGCGUCUACGCCACGCCCUGGUCUCAUCACAGGUGCGUCUACGCCACGCCCUGGUCUCAUCACAGGCACCAGGUGGCGAACAGGAAGCCCGUGGCGCCGUCCGAAUUUCGUCCGAAGGCCGUGACUUGCUAAAGGUUCUACUGCUCUGUAGGUUUUACUGCUCCGCCAAACUCAAACGCACAAAUCAUGUGGCUGGCUUAUGUAUUUUACGGCUUGCCCUGGUAGGUUGCCUUGGUGACUCUGUAGCACUUCCUGCCCAGUCUCCUUGGCUGCACUAAAAUGCAGAGGAGGCGGGGCUCUGUUCAGCCCACCCCCAGCAAGGCGACCAAUCAAGUCGUUUUUUUUAACGUAGACCAGUGUGGAAAACCCAAUCAGCAUUCAGUCAGUAGACGGGACUUGGCCAUCGUCUCCAAUUAGGUUGUUAUUCCAAAAGAGUCAGCAAAUGUGCUGUACAUGGAAUAAUACACACACACACACACACACACCUAAAUGAAUGAAUAAGUAAUAAAAUACUUAUGUUAGAAGUAAUACUAAUGAUUAUAAUGUUAAUAUACUAGAGGUCUUUAUAUUACAAUGUGUAAUAUUCCGUAUCUGUGUUGUCUGCGGUGGAUAGGAGGUGUAGUGGGUAAUGGACUCAUGUCUUAUAGGGCAGUCUGAAUAUUUCUCCAAGUGCCUACUGGCAGACUCCAAGAGCAGUUUAAGAUGAGCGGAGUCACACACACACACACACACACACACACAGUUUAAGAUUAGCAGUGAGAGUUUGGCAAAAAGUUUGUUUCUGGUUCUAGCUGUUCUCAACUGAAGGUGAAGUGGUCAUUUUGGAAUGCCCUCAAAGAUCAUGUGUUCUACGCACAUCCAAUCAGCACAGCCAGAGGGCGCUGGAGACCAUGUGUUCUACGCACAUCCAGUCAGCACAGCCAGAGGGCGCUGGAGACCAUGUGUUCUACGCACAUCCAGUCAACACAGCCAGAGGGCGCUGGAGACCCAUCCACUGCCCGCCAGCCUCUUGCCCCCUCCACCAGCUUCCCCCACCACGCAGCCAACCUUAAUCUUGAAUAGAUGCCAUUGCCCCAGUUCAUUUAUUAUUGGUCUCCAUGAAUUAUGUGCUUGAUUAUUGCUCUGAAUGCACUGUUGAUUUUACCUGACGUUUUAAUCAAAUAAAGAUAUUCAAUUAAUGCAUCUUAACACAAUUGUGUAAGAGUUUUGUGUAAGACUAAUGUGGAAUACUCUUUAAUGGAUAAUUCAGUCACAGAAAAACCAAAACCGCCUACUUGUUUCUAACAAAUACAUUUUCCUGCUUUAUGUGUUUAUUUUUCUGGCCAUAUGACUACUAUACAUUGUUCAUUUUAAUGUUAAAAUAAUGUUUAAUGAUUGUAAGUCGUGGAUAAAAGCGCCUGCUAUGAAUGAACCAUAAACGUAUUUGAUCCGA